CCGGUAUAGCUCAGUUAGUAGAGCAGAGGACUCAAAAUCUUCCUGUUACCGGUUCAAAUCCGCUAUUGAA
rnacentral:tRNA from 1 species